CCAGACAUGGUUCCCCUACUAACGGCGAGUGAACCGGGAAGAGCUCAAAUUUGAAAUCUGGCGUCCUCAGGGCGUCCGAGUUGUAAUCUAUAGAGGCGUUUUCCGUGCCGGACCGUGUCCAAGUUCCUUGGAACAGGAUAUCAAAGAGGGUGACAAUCCCGUACUUGACACGACGACCGGUGCUCUGUGAUACGUCUUCUACGAGUCGAGUUGUUUGGGAAUGCAGCUCAAAAUGGGUGGUGAGUUCCAUCUAAAGCUAAAUAUUGGCGAGAGACCGAUAGCGAACAAGUACCGUGAGGGAAAGAUGAAAAGCACUUUGGAAAGAGAGUUAAACAGUUUGUUUUAUUGUUUUUUGGGAAACGAUUGAAGUCAGUCGUGACCGAGAGGCUCAGCCGGUUCUGCUUUUUUAUUCCCCUCGGUCGCGUCAACAUCAGUUUUGUCCGGUGGAUAAGGGCGGUAGGAAGGUGGCACCCUCGGGUGUGUUAUAGCCUAUCGUCGCAUACAUCGGGUGAGACUGAGGAACGCAGCUCGCCUUUAUGGCCGGGGUUCGCCCACGUCCGAGCUUAGGAUGUUGACAUAAUGGCUUUAAACGACCCGUCUUGAACGGGACCCAGGGCAUUCCAAUGGGCGGCGAAUAUCUUCUGGAGUAGGAGAUCAAAACAAGCGGACAUACCGUAGUUAGAGCACCUAUCCCGGCCAGUGAAAUAGAGCAAUCUAUUAUCGCUUUGAUUGGUACGGCAGGCUUCAAAUUAAGUCAUUGAGGCCAGCCUAAGCAACAUUUGACGCCAGAGUCAAGUCCACCGUACUGUUAAGCCAGGGAUAAAGCAUUUCGAAGACGCUUAACAGCCUUUCUUUUAACAUGAUAGCAAAGGAACAAUGAAUCCAAAGAUAUCCAAAGCACGACGUUUGACCUCAAAUAUUCUCAUCGAUGGCCUCACCAGCCUUCUAUAGCCGGGAUACAAAGAGAUCGUUAGU
rnacentral:rRNA from 1 species